rnacentral:rRNA from 1 species
UACAGAGGGUGCAAGCGUUAAUCGGAAUUACUGGGCGUAAAGCGCGCGUAGGUGGUUUGUUAAGUUGGAUGUGAAAUCCCCGGGCUCAACCUGGGAACUGCAUUCAAAACUGACAAGCUAGUGUAUGGUAGAGGGUGGUGGAAUUUCCUGUGUAGCGGUGAAAUGCGUAGAUAUAGGAAGGAACACCAGUGGCGAAGGCGACCACCUGGACUGAUACUGACACUGAGGUGCGAAAGCGUGGGGAGCAAACAGG